rnacentral:rRNA from 1 species
UUAAGCGAAUAAGCGUACACGGUGGAUGCCUAGGCAAUCAGAGGCGAUGAAGGACGUGCUAAUCUGCGAAAAGCGUCGGUAAGGUGAUAUGAACCGUUAUACCCGACGAUAUCCGAAUGGGGAAACCCAGUAUCCAAUGGAUACUAUCAUUAACUGAAUCCAUAGGUUAAUGAGGCGAACCGGGAGAACUGAAACAUCUCAGUACCCCGAGGAAAAGAAAUCAACCGAGAUUCCCCUAGUAGCGGCGAGCGAACGGGGAGCAGCCCAGAGUCUUAAUCAAUAGCAGUGUCAGGAGAACGGUCUGGAAAGUCCGGCAGUAAAGGGUGAUAGCCCCGUAUCUGAAGAUGCUGUUAUUGUGAACUCGAUGAGUAGGGCGGGACACGUGUUAUCCUGUCUGAAUAUGGGGGGACCAUCCUCCAAGGCUAAAUACUCCUGAUUGACCGAUAGUGAACCAGUACCGUGAGGGAAAGGCGAAAAGAACCCCGGCGAGGGGAGUGAAAAAGAACCUGAAACCGUGUACGUACAAGCAGUAGGAGCCUCUUUAUGGGGUGACUGCGUACCUUUUGUAUAAUGGGUCAGCGACUUAUAUUCUGUAGCGAGGUUAACCGUAUAGGGGAGCCGUAGGGAAACCGAGUCUUAACUGGGCGAAUGAGUUGCAGGGUAUAGACCCGAAACCCGGUGAUCUAUCCAUGGGCAGGUUGAAGGUUGGGUAACACUAACUGGAGGACCGAACCGACUAAUGUUGAAAAAUUAGCGGAUGACUUGUGGAUGGGGGUGAAAGGCCAAUCAAACCGGGAGAUAGCUGGUUCUCCCCGAAAGCUAUUUAGGUAGCGCCUCGUGAAUUCAUCUUCGGGGGUAGAGCACUGUUUCGACUAGGGGGUCAUCCCGACUUACCAACUCGAUGCAAACUGCGAAUACCGAAGAAUGUUAUCACGGGAGACACACGGCGGGUGCUAACGUCCGUCGUGAAGAGGGAAACAACCCAGACCGCCAGCUAAGGUCCCAAAGUCAUGGUUAAGUGGGAAACGAAGUGGGAAGGCUCAGACAGCCAGGAUGUUGGCUUAGAAGCAGCCAUCAUUUAAAGAAAGCGUAAUAGCUCACUGGUCGAGUCGGCCCGCGCGGAAGAUGUAACGGGGCUAAACCAUGCACCGAAGCUGCGGCAGCGACACAUAGUGUUGUUGGGUAGGGGAGCGUUCUGUAAGCCUGCGAAGGUGUACUGUGAGGUAUGCUGGAGGUAUCAGAAGUGCGAAUGCUGACAUAAGUAACGAUAAUGCGGGUGAAAAACCCGCACGCCGGAAGACCAAGGGUUCCUGUCCAACGUUAAUCGGGGCAGGGUGAGUCGACCCCUAAGGCGAGGCUGAAAAGCGUAGUCGAUGGGAAACGGGUUAAUAUUCCCGUACUGGUGGUAACUGCGAUGGGGGAACGGAGAAGGCUAGGUUGUCCGGGCGACGGUCGUCCCGGUUCAAGCAGGUAGGCAGAGUGAUUAGGCAAAUCCGGUUACUUAAUGCUGAGAUGUGAUGACGAACCACUAAGGUGGUGAAGCAAUUGAUGCCCCGCUUCCAGGAAAAGCCUCUAAGCUUCAGGUUACCAACAAUCGUACCCCAAACCGACACAGGUGGUCAGGUAGAGAAUACUCAGGCGCUUGAGAGAACUCGGGUGAAGGAACUAGGCAAAAUGGUGCCGUAACUUCGGGAGAAGGCACGCUGGCGGUAGGUAAAGUCCCUUGCGGACGGCGCUGAAGCCAGUCGAAGAUACCAGCUGGCUGCAACUGUUUAUUAAAAACACAGCACUGUGCAAACACGAAAGUGGACGUAUACGGUGUGACGCCUGCCCGGUGCUGGAAGGUUAAUUGAUGGGGUUAGCGUAAGCGAAGCUCCUGAUCGAAGCCCCAGUAAACGGCGGCCGUAACUAUAACGGUCCUAAGGUAGCGAAAUUCCUUGUCGGGUAAGUUCCGACCUGCACGAAUGGCGUAAUGAUGGCCAGGCUGUCUCCACCCGAGACUCAGUGAAAUUGAACUCGCUGUGAAGAUGCAGUGUACCCGCGGCAAGACGGAAAGACCCCGUGAACCUUUACUAUAGCUUGACACUGAACAUUGAGCCUUGAUGUGUAGGAUAGGUGGGAGGCUUUGAAGUGUGGACGCCAGUCUGCAUGGAGCCAACCUUGAAAUACCACCCUUUAACGUUUGAUGUUCUAACCUAGGCCCAUAAACUGGGUCGGGGACCGUGUCUGGUGGGUAGUUUGACUGGGGCGGUCUCCUCCUAAAGAGUAACGGAGGAGCACGAAGGUUGGCUAAGCAUGGUCGGACAUCAUGCGGUUAGUGCAAAGGCAUAAGCCAGCUUGACUGCGAGAGUGACGGCUCGAGCAGGUACGAAAGUAGGUCUUAGUGAUCCGGUGGUUCUGAAUGGAAGGGCCAUCGCUCAACGGAUAAAAGGUACUCCGGGGAUAACAGGCUGAUACCGCCCAAGAGUUCAUAUCGACGGCGGUGUUUGGCACCUCGAUGUCGGCUCAUCACAUCCUGGGGCUGAAGUAGGUCCCAAGGGUAUGGCUGUUCGCCAUUUAAAGUGGUACGCGAGCUGGGUUUAGAACGUCGUGAGACAGUUCGGUCCCUAUCUGCCGUGGGCGUUGGAAGAUUGAGAGGGGUUGCUCCUAGUACGAGAGGACCGGAGUGAACGCACCACUGGUGUUCGGGUUGUCAUGCCAAUGGCAUUGCCCGGUAGCUAAGUGCGGAAGAGAUAACCGCUGAAAGCAUCUAAGCGGGAAACUUGCCUCGAGAUGAGUCUUCCCUGUCACUUUAAGUGACCUAAAGGAACGUUUAAGACUAAGACGUUGAUAGGCUGGGUGUGUAAGCGUAGCGAUACGUUGAGCUAACCAGUACUAAUGAACCGUGAGGCUUAACCUG